UACAGAGGUCCCGAGCGUUGUUCGGAUUUAUUGGGCGUAAAGGGUGUGUAGGUGGCGCCGUAAGUCGGGUGUGAAAUUUCGGAGCUUAACUCCGAAACUGCAUUCGAUACUGCCGUGCUUGAGGACUGGAGAGGAGACUGGAAUUUACGGUGUAGCGGUGAAAUGCGUAGAUAUCGUAAGGAAGACCAGUGGCGAAGGCGGGUCUCUGGACAGUUCCUGACGCUGAGGCACGAAGGCCAGGGGAGCAAACGGG
rnacentral:rRNA from 1 species